UGGGGAAUUUUGGACAAUGGGCGAAAGCCUGAUCCAGCAAUGCCGCGUGUGUGAAGAAGGCCUUCGGGUUGUAAAGCACUUUUGUCCGGAAAGAAAUCCUUGGCUCUAAUACAGUCGGGGGAUGACGGUACCGGAAGAAUAAGCACCGGCUAACUACGUGCCAGCAGCCGCGGUAAUACGUAGGGUGCAAGCGUUAAUCGGAAUUACUGGGCGUAAAGCGUGCGCAGGCGGUUUGCUAAGACCGAUGUGAAAUCCCCGGGCUCAACCUGGGAACUGCAUUGGUGACUGGCAGGCUAGAGUAUGGCAGAGGGGGGUAGAAUUCCACGUGUAGCAGUGAAAUGCGUAGAGAUGUGGAGGAAUACCGAUGGCGAAGGCAGCCCCCUGGGCCAAUACUGACGCUCAUGCACGAAAGCGUGGGGAGCAAACAGGAUUAGAUACCCUGGUAGUCCACGCCCUAAACGAUGUCAACUAGUUGUUGGGGAUUCAUUCCUUAGUAACGUAGCUAACGCGUGAAGUUGACCGCCUGGGGAGUACGAUCGCAAGAUU
rnacentral:rRNA from 1 species